CUCAUAGCUCCAAGUGUGAACACUUGCAACAACGCGUAUGAGGGCGGCGGAUACCCUACAAACUGCGAUAACCCGGCAUGUAACGGAACGCCCUGUAUCCUCGUAUUGACAGCUCCAAACAGGGCGUUUGCUGGUCUUUGCAAAGGUGGCCACUGUGUCGCCUCUUAUGAACUGAGUGCAGAUGAGACAAGAAGCGCGCAUCCACAAAUGUACCGCAAG
rnacentral:lncRNA from 1 species